rnacentral:rRNA from 1 species
AUUCCAGCUCCAAUAGCGUAUAUUAAAGUUGUUGCAGUUAAAAAGCUCGUAGUUGGAUUUGUUGUGAGAGUGAAGUGACUGGCACAAUGUCAGUCUUUUUUAUUCCACAUUCUUUGUGUUGGCUUAGGGAUGGCAUUCAGUUGCUGCCUCAAAUACACGCAUCUUUUACUGUGAAGAAAUUAGAGUGUUUAAAGCAGACGUUAUUGUCGUUGAAUACAUUAGCAUGGAAUAAUAAUAUAUGACUCGAUUGGUCUAUUUUGUUGGUUUGCACAUUUGAGUAAUGAUUAAUAGGGACAGUUGGGGAUAUUCAUAUUUGAGCGUCAGAGGUGAAAUUCUUGGAUCGCUGAAAGAUGAGCUAAGGCGAAAGCAUUUAUCAAGGAUGUUUUCAUUG